UCGGAUAUGGUGUAACGGCUAACAUUGCCGCCUUUCAAAGGUUCGCGGCAGCUCGGGGUUCGAUUCCCCGUAUCCGAA